rnacentral:lncRNA from 1 species
GUGCUCUAUUGUUGACAUAAAAGGAAGUAUCAAACUUCCACUACUUAUUGGCAAACUAAAUAGAAAUAUUAAAGGGGAAGUCCAAGACGCUUUAUUUUCUCCUUCAAAGUCAUUACUUCAUAGCCCAAACAAACAAACGGCUCUCUGAGCCAGCUACAGAUUUGCCCGAGGAUGAAAGUACAUCUCUUCCCAGAGCAAAAGCACAAGAGCUGGUGUGGAUUUUAAUGGUGCCCUGCAGUGCUGGGAUAGCCACCUUCCCACCCCUUCCAGCAUGCUUGUGGCGAUGUCUGGGCUGGCUGAUGUCUACUGCAACACUUCCUGUGGCUGCAGCAGGGUGGCACAGGUCUCCAGGUGUGAUGUUAGACACCAGGAUUCAGCUCGAAGCUCACCCCGGAAGCAGACCAGGCACCAUUGCAGAGCCUGCAGCCCUCACUGCAGAGAACAUGGCAGCUGCCCUUCCCAUGGCUGGUGUCUCCUGCUGCUUGGCACCCAACUCCAUAGGGGCAGCUCAGCUCAUACCAGACAUGCUGUUGCAUAGGCUGAAAUACCAAGAAGCCACCAUCUGCCAACAAGCUGCUGGCAAG